GACGUAGGGCGCGAGCGUUGUCCGGAUUUAUUGGGCGUAAAGAGCUCGUAGGCGGCUUGUCGCGUCGAAUGUGAAAUCUCAGGGCUCAACUCUGACAUUGCAUUCGAUACGGGCAGGCUAGAGUUCGGUAGGGGAGACUGGAAUUCCUGGUGUAGCGGUGAAAUGCGCAGAUAUCAGGAGGAACACCCGUGGCGAAAGCGGCUCUCUGGAACGGUACUGACGCUGAGACGCGAAAGCGUGGGGAGCGAACAGG
rnacentral:rRNA from 1 species